rnacentral:rRNA from 1 species
CUACGGGGGGCUGCAGUGAGGAAUAUUGCACAAUGGGGGGAACCCUGAUGCAGCAACGCCGCGUGGAGGAUGACGCAUUUCGGUGUGUAAACUCCUUUUAUAUGUCAAGAAAAUGACGGUAGCAUAUGAAUAAGCACCGGCUAACUCCGUGCCAGCAGCCGCGGUAAUACGGAGGGUGCAAGCGUUACUCGGAAUCACUGGGCGUAAAGGACGCGCAGGCGGGUUGGAAAGUCAGGUGUGAAAUCCUACAGCUUAACUGUAGAACUGCACUUGAAACUUCUAAUCUAGAGUAUGGGAGGGGGAGAUGGAAUUAGUGGUGUAGGGGUAAAAUCCGUAGAUAUCACUAGGAAUACCUAAAGCGAAGGAGAUCUCCUGGAACAUUACUGACGCUAAGGCGUGAAAGCGUGGGGAGCAAACAGGAUUAGAUACCCUUGUAGUC